rnacentral:rRNA from 1 species
AUGAUGCCUACAAAGACUUGGAAGGAGAAGUGCAUCGCAGCAGAGGAAAAUAAAAAUACGGAUGCCAUCAUUAUUGCAGAAAAUUCAGAGAAUAAUAAAGAUGUACCAACUGAUAUGGAUGUUAAUAUGGUGUUCUCAUUGCCUGCUGAAUUUCGCGCGCCCAAGGCAGAAAUUGCUAAACUUGUUCUUGGCCCAAAGAAUGCUACAUUUGAGAAACCAGAGAAGCAUGGGCAGCACCUAAAGCCAUUAUUUACCAGAGGUCACAUCGAUGGUAAGCCUAUUGGUCGCAUGCUUGUUGAUGGUGGUGCAGGUGUUAAUAUUAUGCCCUUUUCGGUAUUUUCUAAACUGAACUGA